CAAAGUUGUAUUCCCACCAAUCACAUUUCUCCAUUCUUCCAAGUGGCACUCCCCUUCCUAUAUUCCUAUUGGGUGUUUGCUAAUAUCCAUUGGUUUUCCCUAUUCUCUUUGUCUCCGUUUUCUUCAAUCUCCCUUUACCUCCAAACCCUAACUUUUCUCUCUUCUUUCUUUUUCUCCCGUCUUUUCUCUUCUCUCUUUUUCCUUCUAACCCUAAAAUCGCCGCCGCUGCUCUUUCUCAUAAAACAACCAAUAGCCGUCUACUUUUGCACAUGAGAGAUUUUCGUUUUUGUUUUCUGAAGAUUGUUAAGCUGAAUAAUCGAUGGUUAUGAUUGUACGAAUUGAAUCGUGUUCUGCAAGAAUUUGGAACGCGAUAUUUGAGUUUGAGGAAGACUAAGGAUGAUAGCGUGUUCAUGAGUGGCCUGCUUGAUUUGCAUUCCUUGGAUACUGAGGUUUGGUCACAAAAAUGUAGAUGAAGUGUUUGAUGAAAGUUCUACAAAUGAUAAACCUUUGCCUCAAGCGUGAAUGGAUCCAUCAAACGGUAUGUAUUAUGUAGUAUCAGUUAUCAACUACUUAAGAACUUUUAUGUUGGAUCUGUUUUUAUACUACUGCAACAUAUUGAUAUCUUAAAAGAAUAUUAUGAGCUCAUACACGAGUUUAUGACUGCAGUGAAGAAAACUUACGGCGAAAAAUUCCUAAUUUAGGUAUCAAGUAAUGCUAUAAAGCAUGAAAUUAUUUCUUGACUUAAAUGAUUGCAGUCUACUGAUUCAAACUUUUUUUGGUUUAUGUAUCUGUUAGGCGAAUAUCUAUAUUAGAUAUUGAAUUCAUGUAUUUUUAUAACAAUGCUCACAACUCGUACCAAUUUCGUGUCGGACAUUGUGUCUACUUUGUUUUAUGGAAUUUCAUCGGUUGUUCUUGCUGGCUUAGUUGCAUCUUUGAAAUUGGUUGGUGGAAACUUAGCUGACCGCAUAUUCCCAUUCCUUGGUGCCGGAGAGAUAAUCGGUGUUUCAACUAGGCUACAAAUUUUGUGAUGUAGCCUUAGGAGGUCUGGUGCCGGUUUACACGGUUAGGUACAUGAUUGAUGAAAAUGAAGUUUGGAGAUUGUGAAACAUGAAGAUUAGCAUGAUGAUGAUGUUGCAAGGCUGCUUCGCGAGUAUGUUCAUGAAGGCAGUAGUUUACGAAGGUGCAGUUCACUUGGUGGAAUUAAAUAUUUUGUUAGGCCGCAAAUUGGAUCUAUUUCUCUCUUAAACUUGCAAGUUUUAUGCAUACGGGAAUAAGAUUGGACAUGACUGGAUCUAUUUCUAUAAGCAUUUCUAGGAAUUUAUUCGGGAUAUCAAAGUCAUGGUGUUGUUUGAUCGGCUGCGAUUGUAGUAGGAAUUGGUCCAGAAAAGGUAACUGAGUUUGGCUGUACUGGUUCGUUCUUGCCCAACACUUUUCAGGUUAUUAUUGUCGGUUGUAGUGGUUCGGUUUGUUCAGGUUGAUACACUGAUAAGAUGACUGGCGCAGGGUGUAAUUGCGUAGUUCAAACAAGUGAUGCAUUUAGCAUUCAAGCUAAUGGGGAUAUUAGAAUCUUUCAAACAAGUGAUGCAUUUUUUUCUUAUUUCCUUCUCCCUUUCAAAGUCAUAGUCUUACAUCACUCACUUGUAGAUGAGUUCAGUUAUACAACAUAGCUUCUUUAACUAAGCUAUGGUGCAGUUAUCUUUUCCAAAACAACUUUAACUAACAUAUCUUCUUCAUGAUAUCAUAAGCUCUUUUUUUUGUUUGUUCACUUCUGUUACUAUUUUUCUUCCUCAUUAUUAUAAUUUAUCUUCAUAUAUAUGGUGCAGUUAUCAACACAGGGGCCAAUUCAUGAUGAAAUUGAUUUUAAGUUCCUGGGGAACGUCACCUGUGAUCCAAAGAUUCUAUAUACAAAUGUGUUUUCCCAAAGCAAAGGAAACAUAGAACAACAAUUAUACUCUGGUUCGACCCAACCAAGAACUUCCACACUUACUCUAUUAUCCGGAAGUCUCGAUACUUAAAUCAUAUAUAGUUCGCAUAAACAUCUUAAUUGAGAAUCUAUUUAAGUUGUUGGAGUGCUGAUGAUUGGGCUACAAGAGGUGGUUUGGUGAAAGCACCCUUUACGACUUACUACCGCAAUUUCAAAGCCAUUGAACUCUCUUUUUUCACAUCCAAUUCAUUCUCUGAUUCUACAUUGCAGAGCUACAAGGUUGAUGCUUAUGGUAGAAGAAGAUUGAGAUAGUUUUAGAAGUAUUUCAUGAUAUAUAAUUACUGCAAUGAUCUUAGCGAUUCUCACAAGGGAUUCCGGCGGAAUGUGGGUGUUCAAGGUUCUGAAAGAUAUAAUGAAUGAAGAAAUUAUCAUAUAGCAGUUAUGUCAAAUAUAUUUUGUCUGCUUCUGUUGGAAUUAAUCUACAUACCUUUUUGUCAA